GCCGAGAUGGUGGAACUGGCAGACACGCUACUUUGAGGGGGUAGUGAGGGAUUCCUCAUGCGGGUUCGAGUCCCGCUCUCGGCACCA
rnacentral:tRNA from 1 species